rnacentral:rRNA from 1 species
GCAGUGAUGCAGAGCAAAUCCCCAAAAGCAGUCUUAGUUCGGAUUGUAGGCUGCAACUCGCCUACAUGAAGUCGGAACUGCUAGUAAUCGCGGAUCAGCAUGCCGCGGUGAAUACGUUCCCGGGCCUUGUACACACCGCCCGUCACACCAUGGGAGUCGGUAACACCCGAAGCCUGUAGUCUAACCGCAAGGAGGACGCAGUCGAAGGUGGGAUUGAUGACUGGGGUGAAGUCGUAACAAGGUAUC